rnacentral:rRNA from 1 species
GACGAACGCUGGCGGCGUGCUUAACACAUGCAAGUCGAACGGAAAGGCCCUGCUUUUGUGGGGUGCUCGAGUGGCGAAAGGGUGAGUAUCACGUGAGUAACCUGCCCUUGACUUCGGGAUACCUCCUGGAAACUGGGGCGAAUACCGGACAUGAGCACCUGCUGCAUGGUGGGGGUUGGUAAGUGUCGGCGGUUGGGGAUGGACGCGCGGCCUAUCAGCUUGUUGGUGAGGUAGUGGGUUACCAAGGCUUUGACGGGUAGCCGGCCUGAGAGGGUGACCGGCCACAUUGGGACUGAGAUAGGGGCCGUAGUGCUACGUGAGGCAGCAGUGAGGAAUAUUGCAAGCUGGGCGGAAGCCGGAUGCAGCAACGCCGGGUGGGGGAUGACGGCCUUCGGGUUGUAAACCGCUUGCGCGUGUGACGAAGAGUGAGUGACGGUAAUGGGUAAGGAAGCAACGGCUAACUACGUG